rnacentral:rRNA from 1 species
GGMAAGAGAGACAAGGCCUCCUUAAACCUAAGCGCCUUCAAGCCAAACAGAUGAUAUCACCUUAAUCUGACAAGCAAUAAACACACCUUCCCCAAGACCAGGGGCUC